rnacentral:piRNA from 1 species
GUCAAAAUGUCUCACGUGCCA